ensembl:ncRNA lncRNA:CR44161 long non-coding RNA:CR44161
AUGGAAGCAUUGAGCGUUCUCCGAACAGUAGAUGAGAAAUUCAGAGCAAAAUGACUGGUUUGACGUAACACCAGCAGUGGCCACGAAAGCAAUCACAAGUUCCAGGAUUGCCUGGACUAUGCAGAGCAGUUCGGAUUCCAGGACUUAGCAGGUCAAUUGAAAAGUCCACGGCCUACCAUAAUUUUUUCACAUCAAGGUCAUCGCGAUGUGGGUAGUUCAUUAACGAACGCCUACAAAACGAAGCUUCACUAAUGAGAGUUCGCCGGCUCGUUGACAGAUGCAUUGGCGCGGAUUAAGAAUGUGCAGAAGCAAACAAAGGAUUGCGGGACCUAAACCAACAACAGCCGGGACAAAAACUGCAGCGGCAAUGCAGCAGGAACAAUGAAACAAACGGUCUUUUGGCUAUUUCACCCAUCUUAUAUUCUAACUUGUCCUACGCACAUUUUAUAUAGCUCCCUAAAAACUGAGAGAAAAUGAUAUAGCCUAAAUAAGGAAAAUUCAAAAUACUUAAAACCAAUAAACUUGUUACUAGAUAAGUUCCUUCAUAAUGGCUAUAGAUAAUAGUAAUUAACUAUUUUGGAAGUAGC